GUGGACGAUAUUUUCAGCAUUUGCUGAGGACAGUAAAUUUUGUAGUUUAUGUUAUUUCACUUUUUAUGACUUUUUAACACUUAAUAAAAUUUUAUUAGAGCACUUUUGUGUUUACAAGGCCACAAAACUCUUGGCAGGUUGUCAGAAGUCCUUUUUAUUAUGAUCCUACUGAUAUACUGCGAGUAAUGAAAUAAUCAUGUCCAGAAAUGUACCAAAGGCCAGAGGGAUUAUGCCACUUCAUAGCUCCACAGAUGCGCCCAGAAGAAUGCCGGCCCGCGGCAGGACGCGCAGCAAGGCUGCGGCAGGCAGGAGGCGGCCCCUCUCUCUGGUGUUCACCACUUCGCUUGCUUUCCUAAAAGAGUAACAGCAGGGUCAUGUGACUUUCCGUUGUCUCAAUAAAAAGAAAAAAAAAUAGAAUUUAUUCUAUUGCAAAAUGUGCUUUUCCUUUUAUUCUCCUUGUGUGGGCAUUUCAGGAUGCUCUAGUGGCAGUGGGGCUGGCUCUGCAUAUCCGUGUCUGUCACUUUCCUCCCUAAAUGUACUUUUUGUGACACUGAAGCGGGCGGUGGUGACAUUGGUGUUGAGGCCAGCGGCUUUCCAAGCCCCUGCUGCAGGCACUGGGAGGGACCAGGAAGGGCACAGAUCCAUCAUCGCUUCACAAGCGGGUGCUAAGUUCAUCCAGGCUGCAGAAGGAGAGCCUUGUAUUUCCUGACCCUGAAGGCAAGAUUCCCCCACAGGCUCAGAAUGUCUUCAUCCCCAUUUCAAAAGUGGCAAAACUGAAGUUCAACAGGACGAGCCCUUUGCUUUGUGUUACCCAGUGAUACAGCUGAGAUUGGAAAUUGCAUCUUCAGGCACUCAACUAUAUAACAAGAUUUUAUAACACGGCCUCCCAGGUGGAAGGGAAGCAUAAAGUGGCAGAGAUUCCACAGAGUUGGAUAGCUUGAUUCUCCUCUCCCGAGAAGGAAGCUCGUAACCUAAGUCUCAUAAUUUCCCAUCCAGAGUUUCAUGCAUGAAACUUUAUGGCCUCUUGAAAGGAGACAAAUAUCCCCAAAAGCAUGUAUGUGUGGAAGAUAGAAAGCAGGUUGGAAAGUACUGAUUUAUUACAACCCUUCAUUAAGGUUAAAAGCAUUCCAGGGAGAUGAAGACAUCUGCCUUGUAUUUUCACAUUGCAGAAGAAAAGUUAAGGACAGGAAGAACAAAAAGGAAGAAAACAAUGUUUCAAGCUGAAUUCAAGCCAGAACCUUGUCUCUUUAAAUCUGUGGAGGAAGAUAUUCCUUCGGGCCCACAGGAUGCCAAAAUGACUUGAUGAUUUAUUUGUGCAGCGCUUGGCAGCCCAUAGUCCAGAUUGUGGCUGAAGCUGAAUUUUAUGAGCCUUCCCCUACAGUUGAUCUGGUCAUUCAGCAACUGUUUAUGGGACAUACUAUAUUCCUGGAAGUAUUCUUGACUCAGGGGACUGUGAAAAGAGACACUGUCACUGCACUCCAGCAGCGGACAGAUGGAUGACAAACAGCUACAGAAAGACAACAAGAAAACCAAAAGCAAACAGGCCCAUCUCCACUGGAUGCUCAUCUUAUACCAGUAUACCAGUUAAGAAUCAAGUGGCAACCAGAAAUAAGAGCUGAACCCUGAAAGAGCAAGGUUGGUUUAAAAGUGCUGGUCAACUUUGACUCAUAAAAGCAUUAAAACAGGCAGAGCACCAAAGAGGCAACAGCUCUUAAAAUACCAGUUUCAGAUUAUCUCACUCUAUAGGAAGUUCUUACUGCCAGAUGUGUGCAACAGUGACAUCCAGCGGUUACAGAGCCACUGAGCUAUAGAGAUCCACACUUCGUCCCUCUUACAACUGCCACCGCGGCCACCUUCUCCUUUCUGCUUUAUUACAUCUGGAAUGCACUUCAUAUGAUAACCUUCCUUUUCAUUCUGUACUGGACUCUUCUUGCAAAGGAAGAACUUGGGAGAGGAAUUAGGCCAUCAGUGUGGCUGGCAACAGCCCUUCAUCUCCUUACUUAACAAAGCUUAUGAAGUUUAAGACUGAGAAAAGGACAAAGAGCAGAGACAGUUAUUUCCUACAACCAUUCCAGAAGGGCUGAUGGACUCAGACUUGGUGUGAGCUUUGUGGCUUUGGCAUUUAGUGAGUUUAUUUACGUCUUCCCAUUUGAUGCACCUGUCUGCAGGAUCUGCAGCUGAGAGAGGAUGUCCAGCUAACAGCUCGUGUCUCAGGCCCUGCCAGGAGGAUGAAUCAAUUAGCAAGAAAAGCCAUGAUGCAAAUGCACCAGGGUCACUUGGGAUGCUGUUGGCCUUUUUGAUAAAGAAAGCCAGCUAUAAAUAACCUCACACCUCAGGAAAUCAUUCCGGGAGGCCCCGAUGCCAGUGCCGGCAGGGCUGCUGUUCGGGGACGAGGACGGAAGGAAUCAUUCGCUCAUUCUGCGUUUUUCCCCCAUCGCAGUCAAUGGAAGAUUUGUGGUAAAAUCAAAGUAUGUAAAAGGAGGACAGUGUAUGGUAACAGAGGCAUGUUUCGUAAAUUUUUUUUAGUACCAGAACCUGUGAUUUACGACCCAGGGUUACAGCCAACUUUAUUACAAAAAUGACUUCACCUAUAAUAACCUUACACAAGGCUCUCUGGAGAAUGACAGAGUGGUCUACAGCAUUAUAAUCUGGCCAGUAUGCACAAACAAUUCCCGCCUCUGUCUCAUUCCCACCUGCCCUUCCCCCCAGCAGCACCCCCAGAGCAGGUUUCCCACAUUACCUGCUGGGAGAACUGGGCUUACCAGUAAGGUUUUGUGAUUUUUACAUGGCGAUUUACUUGGAUUGGCACAUUUUCAGUAAACCAUGACCGAGAGAGCAGAUUUCUGGGUCCCAGUCAUGUCCUCCCAGCCUAGCAGCCUGAGGAAUUAGGGGCAGCAGAUGUCCACUUGUCCUUCAUCCUGCUCACCCUGUACCCCACCCCCUGAGCUUUCUCCAUCCCUGAGUACUCCCACCCCUUGACUCCAGAGCUCAAAUUCCCAGCACUCAAGACUGGAACACUGAGCUCCACCUCUCCUUAUAAUUGCCAUGGUAACCGAAAGCUGCACUAAAACUGCCAGGGCUGGGUGUCCAAGCAAAGGUCCCCUGGGUGUCCCAGGAUCUAGGAACUGGCUCUCCAUCUUGUUAAACUCUGGUGUCAGUUGCUAGCAAUUGUUUGAAAUUUACAUCCUCAGAGUGGCUUAGCAGGAUUACGUGUCCAUUUGCAUUAAAACAGGUUUCUGUCAUUAAACUGCCAUACAAUAAACUUCCUUGGGACAAAUUAAUGAGCUCUAAAUAUCAUCAAGUAGAAGUUCACUUCAGCAUGGCAGCGAACAAGGGGGGACUGAAGGAAGCGGCUGCUUAGAAUCUUAGCCCAGGAGAACCAAGCGCCAACUAGAGAAGGGACAUGUCUGUUUCUGAGUUGUCAGGUGUGUGGUCCUGUAUGAAGCUGCCUGGGAGCUUUUGGCAACACUCCUGCCAUUCACCAGGAUACUGCAGCUCCCCUCCUCCUUUCCCCUAUUCCAGACAGGUCAUCAGCCUGGACCUUGUCUGACAGAUGUGCUGCUGAGCAAGUGGUCUCUUCCUUCUGUGAUGUGAUGCAGCCCUGUGUUCUUGACCCUGUGGUUUGUCUCCCCUGGAGGAACCUGCC